GAGGCUGAGAUAGGAAUAUCACUUGAGCCCAAGAGGUUGAGACAUCAGUGAGCUAUGGUCACACCACUGCACUCCAGCCUGGGCAGGUCAAAGAACAGAGACACCAUUCUCUGAUAUAAGUGAGUUGGGAAGUAGAUGUGUGUAUAGGGAUUGGGAGGAAAGUAGACUGGUUUCAACUAGGGAUGUGAUUGGGAUUCCUAGGUUUAUAGAUGUGGUUAACUACUGGAAAUAGACAUGAUACACCACAGAGAAUAGAAUGAAAAGAUGGCUCUGUACAGAACUCUGAGGGGCUCCUAAUAUUUAGUAAUAGUUGAAUCAAAGAAAAAGAGGUGGCGUUUAGGCUUAGAAAACUAUUGGUUCGAGUCUUCAAGAUCCUCUGCAAAAUGUUUCCAGCCACAUUUGUUACCCAAGUCAUAGUGGAUUCAUCUCCCUGCCUGUGUACCCAUUUUACAUGUUGCUGUCACAAGGAGACAUUUUCCUUAUUUGUUAAGUAAAAUGGAAAUCCUUAUAUUACUAAAGGUUUUGUUAUAUUCACACUGAAUUGUAUUCUCAUUAUUUAUAUAUUUGGCUUAUUCUCUAAAGAUUAAGGUGCUCAAUUAGUAUUGGUGGAUUGAGUAUAUAUUUUGAUAGAAAUGGCUGUGAUUUUUAAAUAUAGCCAAAUCUUGAUUCUUACCUGGUACCAGCAAUAAAUGUGUUAGAUAAAUUAAUCAACAAUAAAAAAUACAGAUAAGGAAAAAUAUUAAAAUCACAUGAAGUUCUAGCACAUCUUUUCAUGUAAUAGUUUCUCAGUCUGCUUGUUGUAAAGUUUUCGUUUUUGUAAUAAUUGUGUGUUUGGGAUUUUUAUGUUUUAUUUUUGCUCUUGUUUCAUUUCUGUGGGUUAUUUUUGGAGGGGAGGGCACAUUUUAAAUAUACCACAGUUCAGAAGUUCUGUUGUUAAGCACUUUAGUUUUAAAAUGUGUGUACUUGAUUGGUAUGUCCCUAUGAGCUCGGAGGUGUUGCUGACUGGCAAUCCUAGGCUCACUGAUUGUCUGUAGUUCCUGCAGAGCUGGUGUACAUUUAUUUGUAUGAUUAUGCUUCAGACUAUCUUUGGAGUUUUAGAAGAGCUCUUGGAGUGGUGACUUAGGAAGGCAGGGGCUGUCAGCAUAGUUCAGGCUACCCAAAGUACUUCUGCAUUUCACUCACUGUGUUUUCUUUUUCUUUUUUCUUUUUUCUUUUUUUUUUUUUU